CUCUCUCUUCCCGCGUGUUCCCACGAGUUGGACGGCAUAUCAGAGUAUUGUGUAUAUUGGAGGUGACCAUUGUACAUUGAUCUGGUGCCUUUUAAUGGGAUUCGAAACUGUGACUGUGAGAUGUAGGAGAGUUUGACUUGAAGAUGGGUACUUCUACUUUCACUUUAAAUGUACUUGGCAAGGCAGUCGAGACGGGACAUGUGGAGACUGUAAAGGGUGUUUCGAGCCAUACCUGAUACCCAGCCGUUUAGCCAGAAUGGAGGUCGACCUUCCUGUACAUUUUGUGUCGGAAUGAAUGGCCGAAUGACAUAGUCCUUCGAAGUUCUUGGGCCAAUUAGUGUUCUUUGGAGCCAUUGUGAAGCAACGGUGGUGAAUAGAUUCCACUUUAUUGGUAUUAAUUGAUGAUGUGGUUUUCUUGGAAAUUCGAUGGAUCUUCAGAUGUCCUCUGGCUGGAUGGACCAGCCGGCCGCAGAAGCAUUGGGGCAGCAAUGUUUGUUUCCCCUCCAUUGAAGUUGAUUCCCUGAUGGAGGGAGUGUGAGGGGAGUACAAUUGGAUUACUACCUCCGACUUCGCUGAUGGAAAGGGAAUGAUUUGUUUUUCUAUUCUUCCAAAAGGUGUUAUUUAAAUCAAAGUUAAAAUGUUUCCUCUUCCUUCCCUUCGUUUUGCGGUAGGAUUCAUUAACUCACUCAUCACUGUUUCCCAGUAUUUCAUCUACACAAACUAGCUCAAUUAUGACGUCACAAUAGACAGUUAUGAUGUCAUCAUUGAUUGGGAUGCUUGCUCUGUUUUUUGUUUUGUUUUGUUUUUUUUGUUUUUUUUUUUAUAGAGUUAUUGUCCUUGGCAAAUUUAUUUCCUCUCACUCCCCUCUCUUAUUUUGGCCUACAUUUACUUAUUAGGUAAAAGUAGGAUGUCAAAGUCAUUAUUAAAGAUGUGAUAUUAUAGACAAAGCAAUUUUUAGGGCAAAUUCCUUAUUGAAAUAAGUUCAGGGUUCGAAAUUAACUCAUGUCCGUAAGUCCGAGACUAGUAAAAAAACGUGUCGGACUAGUGAACUCUCUAUAGCACUAGUCCGUACGGACUAGUGAAAAUCCGGAAAUCAAUCUUCAAUGUGGUAAAGAUUUUUAGGAAGAUUUGUCUGAGUCUCUUAGAUGUUUGAACUUAUGGUUGAUUACCUGCAUGGUCAAGUGUUUGCAUGACUAUGACAUCCUGAUCUUCCAAACACAUGGAGUACGUUCAAGACCGCCGUUCUUCGAACGUGCACACAUUGUCAAAUUCCUGCCGAUUCCGAACGCCGAGUACACAUCACGAGAACGUGUUCUAGGUGUAAGAAUUGCAAGUAGUGUGGUUUGAGAACAUGCACGUUUGUGCGCACAUGUUCUCGUCAUUCGCGACUCUAAC